UCCCUUUUAGAACUGCUUUUGCAAGGAUUUUUGAUCACUGAGUUUUCAUUUUCAUUUGUCUCCACAUAUUUUUUGGUUUCUCUUUGAUUUCUUUGUUGAUCCAGUUAUUGUGUAGUAGCAUGUUGCAUAUCUUCACAUCUUUUUUUCCCCCAGUUUUUUUCUUGUAGUCUAUGUCUCAUUUUAUACUAUUAUCAUCAGAAAAGGUCUCAACAUGAUUUUAAUCUUCUUAAGUUUAUAGGGCCACUGCUUUUGUGGCCUAAUAUGUGAUCUACUCUGGAAAAUGUUUUUUGUACACUUGAAAAGAAUGUGCAUUCUGUUGUUUUUGAAUGAAAUGUUCUGCAUAUCUCUGCUAUGUCCAUCUGGUCUGGUGUUCCAUUUAUAACCACCGUUUCCUUGUUGACUUUCUGCCUGGAGGAUCUAUCUGUAGAUAUAAGUGGGGUGUUGAAGUCUUCUAUUAUUAUUUAUUACUGUCAAUUUUUCCCUAUAAGUCUUUAAAUGUUGCAUUGUGUAUUUAGGUUCUUCUCUGUUGGGUGCAUAGAUAUUUACAAUUGUUAUAAACUCUUGUUGUAUUGAUGCCUUCAUCACUAUGGAGUGUCCUUCUUUGUCUCUUGCUAUAGUCUUUGUUUUAAAGUCUAUUUUGUCUGAUAAAAAUAUUGCUAACCUGCCUUAUUCUUUUUUUUUUAACUUCCAUUUGAAUGGAAUAUGUUUUUCCAGCUCCUCAUUUUCGACCUUGAUGGUUCUUUAGGUCCAAAAUGAGUCUCUUAUAGGCAACACAUCGAUGGGUGUUUUAAAAAAUUCAUUUAGUCACCUUGUAUCUUUGAUGGAACAGCUAGCUCAUUUACAUUUAAGGAGCUUUGAAGCACAGAGGUCUGUGCUGUAAGAGUCACAAAUGUGCUGAGAGCAGCUGCACUUUUAGCAUGAAGCUUACUACUUUUUCAUCAGAUUAACUUUAUUUGAGGCAGUUAUUAAAAAUUGUUUAUAAGAAUUUUA